GCCAGGUACAGUGGCACACAUCUGUAAUCCCAGCAGCUCAGGAGGCUGAGACAGGAGAAUCACGAGUUUGAGGCUAGCCUCAACAAUAGCGAGGCACUAAGCAACUCAGUGAGACCCUGUCUCUC
rnacentral:sRNA from 1 species